UACGUAGGGACCGAGCGUUGUCCGGAAUCAUUGGGCGUAAAGAGCGUGUAGGCGGCCACUUAAGUCCUGCGUGAAAUCUUGCGGCUCAACCGCAAGCGGUCGUGGGAAACUGGGUGGCUAGAGUGCGGGAGAGGAGAGUGGAAUUCCUGGUGUAGCGGUGGAAUGCGCAGAUAUCAGGAAGAACACCCGUGGCGAAGGCGGCUCACUGGCCCGAUACUGACGCUGAGGUGCGAAAGCGUGGGGAGCAAACAGG
rnacentral:rRNA from 1 species